CAGGCUUGAAGAAGUCCAGCACCUCGUCAGGCAGGGGGAUGAAGUGCAGGAACUGGCAGAGACCUUUCAGCCCUCUGUACUCUGGGUGAGUCUGAAACAAAACGCGUGUUUUGAAGACAUCCAUGGCCUUGAGGAAGAGCUGUGGUAUUUCUGAGCGAAGCCACUGGUUCCAGGAGCUGUCCCUGUCAACAUCUUCCCGGGAAGAAGGGAUGUCGAAAUCGCCUAAAAGAAUACGCGAUUACAUCAAACCACGGUUUGUUUCUUCAACAAGCGAUCCUUUUUGAAUCCUCUGUUCUCACCUUGGAUGAUAAAACGAAAGCCGAAACUGCGAAGAGGCAGGUAAGCAAACACGGGCUGCUUUUGCGGCUGGCAAACGACGUCGCUCUCCGUCUCGCCGCCGCCCAGCUGGAAAGCCAGAGCGAGUUCGGUCGACUCGACGUCUUCUUUUAUCUGAGAGGGAGAUACGUCUGAGUCAGAACAGCCCACAGACUGAGUGACUGCUUCAAGGUGAAUGCCAAAUAAACAAUGAUGGCGCUAAAAACUGGAGCGCUCAACAGUUCUGUGUUUAACUUUGUUGCUUCUUGUACAUAGCGAAACUGCAGAGGUUCAAUCUUGUAAAUGACAGAAAGAAAAUAAGUAAGGACGUAACAAUAAUACUGAAAAUGUAACCUAUUGUUCAAUUCAAUGUAUUCCCAAGAAGAUCUGGAAUAGAGAAAUAACUUUUUUUAAAUUCAAUCUUCAGUUUUUUGCCAGUAAAAGAAUAAAAACUGAACUUUUUUUUUAUUGCUGGCUUGAAUGCAGAGUUUGUAACCUAAACCUUUCUUUUGUUAAGUCUCAAGACAUUCUAGCACCUUGGAGCAGAUUGGCUCAAGAUGCUAAUUGAAUGUUUUGAGCUACAGUGCCUUGCAAAAGUAUUCGCACCCCCCUUUUUUUUGUAAUGUUACAACCACAAACAUCAAUAAGUUUCAAUGUAUUAUAAGUCUGGCGGGCCUCCAGGUUUUAUUUGUGCCCCCACUGCUUUUUUUUCUUCUUUUUUUUACUGUUUGCAUGUUUAAAGACUUUAUAAUUGGUGUUCAGGUAUUAAUCUUCCAAUAACACAUAAUUAUCAAGUGAUAUUUUGAAAUUUCCUGUGAACUUUAAAAAAAAAACUUAACUCAAAAACACAGUGGGCUGCUGAAUGAAUGCCUGCCGAGCGCCACAACUACAGAGUUUAGCAAGUUUUCUGAGGGAAACCUUGAGUUUUAUUGGGAAUUUUAUGUAGUAGUCCUAGAAAAGUUGGUUUAUACUUGGGGGAAAAAUUUAAAAAAAAACACAAUACUUUUAAAGUUGUUUCUCAAAUAAAAAUCUGAAUUAUG